CGCCUUUUAAUUGUUAAUUGCAUGCUAUAUGAUGUUGCUCAAAUGAACAUGUUUUUCAAAAUAAAUCCUUCACUCAACACUCUUACUCUCAGAGCUCUCUCUCCCUCACUUCCAGAGAAAUAUAAUACAAUCAGUGUGGACGUAGCCCAAACCUUGGGGUGAACCACGAUACUUCUCGUGUUAUUUAUGUUGGAAAUGUGCCCUAAAACCAAUCAUAUGAUGAUACUUUACGGACAUUUAACAUGUUAAACUAAUCUAGUUUAAUAUCAAGGGCAAAGAUUAUUGUUUUAAGCCGUCUCAUAUAAAUGUU
rnacentral:lncRNA from 1 species